UGCUAAGGGUAGCAUAAUGAUUUGCCCUCUAAUUAGGGGAUAGAAUGAAUGAAUCAACACAAAACAAACUGUCUCUAUUUUAAAUCAAAAACUUUAUCUCCAAGUGAAAAAGCCUGGAUAAAAAGAAAAGACAAGAAGACCCUAAAAGCUUUAUAAUAAUAUAUAUACAUAAAUAUACAAUUCUUUAGUUGGGAGGACACCAAAUAUAAAAAACAUUUGUUAUUUUAAAGAAUUUAUCAAUAAAAUUAACCUAAAAGUGAAUAAAAGUAAGCUACUUUAGGGGUAACAGGCUAAUAUUCUUUAAGAGUACAUAUUGACAAGAAUGUUUGGCACCUCGAUGUUGGCUUAGGAAACCGUCUUUAUGCAAAAGAAAAGAGCGGGGGUUUGUU
rnacentral:rRNA from 1 species